rnacentral:rRNA from 1 species
AGUCAGAGAACGUGAAAUCGCUGGAGUGGAACCGGAGACAGUUGAUGUUGCUUGGAGACAAGUUUGGUGGCUGGUCGCUUAGUUGUGAUCGUCGCCGGAUGUCGUUUCCUAUGCUACGCCGACGGCGUUGGUCGCUCGUUCUGGCCCGAUAGUGUUGCCCAGCUCGCAAGAGUCGGUGUCUUGUUAUCGGUCGUUGGUUCGUGGUGGCUAGCGUUUAGUUACGCUAGUGUGUGUGACGUCGGUGUGAAAGUCGACGACGUUUCCGACCCGUCUUGAAACACGGAUUGCGGAGUGCUUGUCUACUGCGAGUCAAAGGGUGUUAAAACCUUGCGGCGAAAUGAAAGUGAAGGUCAGUCUUGAAUUGGCCGACGUGGGAUCGGUGCUCCUCGGAGUGCUGCGCACCACGGCCCUGUGCGUGUCACUUGUGACUGUGCAGAGGUUGAGCAGUUGCGCAACGACCCGAAAGAUGGUGAACUAUGCCUGAGCAGGAUGAAG